GACGAACCGUGCGAACGUUGUUCGGAUUCACUGGGCAUAAAGGGCGCGUAGGCGGAUGGUCAAGUCGGGGGGUGAAAUCUUUCAGCUUAACUGGAAAAGUGCCUCCGAUACUGAUCGUCUCGAGGGAGGUAGGGGCAUGUGGAACUUCCGGUGGAGCGGUGAAAUGCGUAGAUAUCGGAAGGAACGCCGGUGGCGAAAGCGACGUGCUGGACCUCUUCUGACGCUGGAGGCGCGAAAGCUAGGGGAGCAACGGG
rnacentral:rRNA from 1 species